GCUGCGCGCGUUUCUGGCCCUGCCAGUGUCUCCGCCGGUUGAAAGCGCGUGUCUGCGUCGGGUUCUGUUGGAGUGCGUUCGGUGCGCCGUGGGUCCGCGCUGCUUCCACCCAACUUCCUGUUAGUUUCUCUCCUGUCACAAUGGCAUGAUCUCGGCUCACUGCGACCUCUGCUUCCUGGGUUCAAGGAUUCUCCUGCCUCAGCCUCCCAAGUAGCUGGGAUUACAGGUUACAUUAGUUAUACACUCUGGAGGUGACUUGACCUGUCAUUGUGAACAAUUAUUGCUCUUGGACGACCCAGGACAUAGGCCAGCCAGUACGUACCCCAGUGUGUUGGAGAAUCGCGCUCGGCUUCUUCCUCUGUGCUGAGUCAUGAAAGUUGCCGGAGCAGGUGCAGUUACACAACCUCCAGACAUCUAGGCUUGCUGUCAAGGCUUCUGAUCAACAUGAGAUGACCGCCGUGUGGUAAACUGAUGAACCCUGACCCUGAUCAACAUGAGAUGACCGCCGUGUGGUAAACUGAUGAACCCCGACCCUGAUGAAC
rnacentral:lncRNA from 1 species